rnacentral:rRNA from 1 species
GAUGAACGCUAGCUACAGGCUUAACACAUGCGAGUCGAGGGGUAGCAGGGUAGCAAUACCGCUGACGACCGGCGCACGGGUGAGUAACACGUAUCCAACCUUCCCAUAACUCGGGGAUAGCCUUUCGAAAGAAAGAUUAAUACCCGAUAGUACUUAUAUAGGGCAUCCUACAUAAGUUAAAGAUUUAUUGGUUAUGGAUGGGGAUGCGUUCCAUUAGAUGGUUGGUGAGGUAACGGCUCACCAAGUCUUCGAUGGAUAGGGGUUCUGAGAGGAAGGUCUCCCACAUUGGUACGGGGAAACGGACCAAAAUGCUACGGGAGGCAGCAGUGAGGAAUAUUGGUCAAUGGGCGAGAGCCUGAACCAGCCAAGUAGCGUGAAGGAUGAAGGUCCUAUGGAUUGUAAACUUCUCUUAUAGUAGAAUAAAGUGAUCCACGUGUGGAUUUUUGUAUGUAUACUAAGAAUAAGGAUCGGCUAACUCCGUGCCAGCCGCCGCGGUAACAC